GUCCACGCCGUAAACGAUGAGCACUAGUUUUUGGGGGUAUUGAUCCCUUCAGAAACGCAGCUAACGCAUUAAGUGCUCCGCCUGGGGAGUACGGUCGCAAGACUAAAACUCAAAGGAAUUGACGGGGGCCCGCACAAGCGGUGGAUUAUGUGGUUUAAUUCGAAGCAACGCGCAGAACCUUACCUGGGCUUGAACUCCUGAGAACCUUGGGUAAUGCCGAGGGUGCCCUUCGGGGAAUUCAGUGAGAGGUGCUGCAUGGCU
rnacentral:rRNA from 1 species